rnacentral:pre_miRNA from 1 species
CGUCAAUAAUUUUUGUCCUCUGCAAUCCUUUUGAAAGCUUGGCCAUGUCAAUGUUUGAUCGUCAGUUCGACAUCCCCAUCAUUGGCAUGGCCAAGCUCUCAAAAAGAUUGUAGAGAGAAUUAUUUCCG